UCAGCGCGUUGAGUAACAGCCCCGACGUUACAGUCGGGGAGGAAAGUCCGAACACUCACUCCAGCGCAAACUGGAGAAAGACAGCAGGUAACCCCUGUCAUUUGCUUUCUGCGGGCAAAAGAGGUGCGAACAGAGACGAGUCUUCGGUUUUGCGGAGGGUGUACCCCGAGCGAAGUCGAGGGGUGAAACGGCUAAAUCCUUGUCCGAGUGCAAGGCCGUGCCCCGCCUUCGGCGGGGAGUGCCGCUUGAGCCUCGUUGCGAAGCGAGGCCCAGAUAAAUUGUUGCUCACGACAGAAUUCGGCUUACAGACGCGCGCGCAGA
rnacentral:RNase_P_RNA from 1 species